AUUGAACGCUGGCGGCAUGCCUUACACAUGCAAGUCGAACGGUAACGCGGGGCAACCUGGCGACGAGUGGCGAACGGGUGAGUAAUGUAUCGGAACGUGCCCAGUAGUGGGGGAUAGCCCGGCGAAAGCCGGAUUAAUACCGCAUACGACCUAAGGGUGAAAGCGGGGGAUCGCAAGACCUCGCGCUAUUGGAGCGGCCGAUAUCAGAUUAGCUAGUUGGUGGGGUAAAAGCCUACCAAGGCGACGAUCUGUAGCUGGUCUGAGAGGACGACCAGCCACACUGGGACUGAGACACGGCCCAGACUCCUACGGGAGGCAGCAGUGGGGAAUUUUGGACAAUGGGCGCAAGCCUGAUCCAGCCAUGCCGCGUGCGGGAAGAAGGCCUUCGGGUUGUAAACCGCUUUUGUCAGGGAAGAAAAGGUCUGAACUAAUACUUUGGGCUCAUGACGGUACCUGAAGAAUAAGCACCGGCUAACUACGUGCCAGCAGCCGCCGUAACAC
rnacentral:rRNA from 1 species